UGAAUUUUUGUCAAGUUAUUAAAUAUUUUAUGUACUACAAAAUAAUUCACUUUCAAAAUAGUCAACGUAUUUCUAAAACAUAGCAUAUUAAUAAAUUUACAUAAUAAAAUAUUAUUACACUGGAAAAUAAUUUAUGAUAUCAAUCUCUAAAUAAAAUUGAAGUCCAGGAAGAAAAUUGAAAGAAAAACGCGAAGAUAAAAUAAAUAAUUCCACAAAAAAAAUUUAAAGAUUUAUUCAGUAGCCCCUGCACUUUCUGAAUGGAAGCAGAAUACCUCACUGAAAACACCCUCCUACCAAAAAAACAGUGAAUUAUUUUUUGACACCCUUUCGGCAGUACUCGAGGUAACAUGUACAAUGAUCGCUGAAAGAUGAGUAGCGUUAUGGCUAAGAUAUAAAGGCAUAAAUAUCAGAAGUAUCCAUUUGUUUCUAUAAAUGUUAGUAAUUCUUGAGAUAAUUGAUUCAUGUUCAUUUCCCUAGGAACGCAU